rnacentral:rRNA from 1 species
UUAAGCGACUAAGCGUACACGGUGGAUGCCCUGGCAGUCAGAGGCGAUGAAGGACGUGCUAAUCUGCGAUAAGCGUCGGUAAGGUGAUAUGAACCGUUAUAACCGGCGAUUUCCGAAUGGGGAAACCCAGUGUGAUUCGUCACACUAUCAUUAACUGAAUCCAUAGGUUAAUGAGGCGAACCGGGGGAACUGAAACAUCUAAGUACCCCGAGGAAAAGAAAUCAACCGAGAUUCCCCCAGUAGCGGCGAGCGAACGGGGAGCAGCCCAGAGCCUGAAUCAGUGUGUGUGUUAGUGGAAGCGUCUGGAAAGGCGCGCGAUACAGGGUGACAGCCCCGUACACAAAAAUGCACAUGCUGUGAGCUCGAUGAGUAGGGCGGGACACGUGGUAUCCUGUCUGAAUAUGGGGGGACCAUCCUCCAAGGCUAAAUACUCCUGACUGACCGAUAGUGAACCAGUACCGUGAGGGAAAGGCGAAAAGAACCCCGGCGAGGGGAGUGAAAAAGAACCUGAAACCGUGUACGUACAAGCAGUGGGAGCACGCUUAGGCGUGUGACUGCGUACCUUUUGUAUAAUGGGUCAGCGACUUAUAUUCUGUAGCAAGGUUAACCGAAUAGGGGAGCCGAAGGGAAACCGAGUCUUAACUGGGCGUUAAGUUGCAGGGUAUAGACCCGAAACCCGGUGAUCUAGCCAUGGGCAGGUUGAAGGUUGGGUAACACUAACUGGAGGACCGAACCGACUAAUGUUGAAAAAUUAGCGGAUGACUUGUGGCUGGGGGUGAAAGGCCAAUCAAACCGGGAGAUAGCUGGUUCUCCCCGAAAGCUAUUUAGGUAGCGCCUCGUGAAUUCAUCUCCGGGGGUAGAGCACUGUUUCGGCAAGGGGGUCAUCCCGACUUACCAACCCGAUGCAAACUGCGAAUACCGGAGAAUGUUAUCACGGGAGACACACGGCGGGUGCUAACGUCCGUCGUGAAGAGGGAAACAACCCAGACCGCCAGCUAAGGUCCCAAAGUCAUGGUUAAGUGGGAAACGAUGUGGGAAGGCCCAGACAGCCAGGAUGUUGGCUUAGAAGCAGCCAUCAUUUAAAGAAAGCGUAAUAGCUCACUGGUCGAGUCGGCCUGCGCGGAAGAUGUAACGGGGCUAAACCAUGCACCGAAGCUGCGGCAGCGACGCUUAUGCGUUGUUGGGUAGGGGAGCGUUCUGUAAGCCUGUGAAGGUGUGCUGUGAGGCAUGCUGGAGGUAUCAGAAGUGCGAAUGCUGACAUAAGUAACGAUAAAGCGGGUGAAAAGCCCGCUCGCCGGAAGACCAAGGGUUCCUGUCCAACGUUAAUCGGGGCAGGGUGAGUCGACCCCUAAGGCGAGGCCGAAAGGCGUAGUCGAUGGGAAACAGGUUAAUAUUCCUGUACUUGGUGUUACUGCGAAGGGGGGACGGAGAAGGCUAUGUUGGCCGGGCGACGGUUGUCCCGGUUUAAGCGUGUAGGCUGGUUUUCCAGGCAAAUCCGGAAAAUCAAGGCUGAGGCGUGAUGACGAGGCACUACGGUGCUGAAGCAACAAAUGCCCUGCUUCCAGGAAAAGCCUCUAAGCAUCAGGUAACAUCAAAUCGUACCCCAAACCGACACAGGUGGUCAGGUAGAGAAUACCAAGGCGCUUGAGAGAACUCGGGUGAAGGAACUAGGCAAAAUGGUGCCGUAACUUCGGGAGAAGGCACGCUGAUAUGUAGGUGAAGUCCCUCGCGGAUGGAGCUGAAAUCAGUCGAAGAUACCAGCUGGCUGCAACUGUUUAUUAAAAACACAGCACUGUGCAAACACGAAAGUGGACGUAUACGGUGUGACGCCUGCCCGGUGCCGGAAGGUUAAUUGAUGGGGUCAGCGCAAGCGAAGCUCUUGAUCGAAGCCCCGGUAAACGGCGGCCGUAACUAUAACGGUCCUAAGGUAGCGAAAUUCCUUGUCGGGUAAGUUCCGACCUGCACGAAUGGCGUAAUGAUGGCCAGGCUGUCUCCACCCGAGACUCAGUGAAAUUGAACUCGCUGUGAAGAUGCAGUGUACCCGCGGCAAGACGGAAAGACCCCGUGAACCUUUACUAUAGCUUGACACUGAACAUUGAGCCUUGAUGUGUAGGAUAGGUGGGAGGCUUUGAAGUGUGGACGCCAGUCUGCAUGGAGCCGACCUUGAAAUACCACCCUUUAAUGUUUGAUGUUCUAACGUUGACCCGUAAUCCGGGUUGCGGACAGUGUCUGGUGGGUAGUUUGACUGGGGCGGUCUCCUCCUAAAGAGUAACGGAGGAGCACGAAGGUUGGCUAAUCCUGGUCGGACAUCAGGAGGUUAGUGCAAUGGCAUAAGCCAGCUUGACUGCGAGCGUGACGGCGCGAGCAGGUGCGAAAGCAGGUCAUAGUGAUCCGGUGGUUCUGAAUGGAAGGGCCAUCGCUCAACGGAUAAAAGGUACUCCGGGGAUAACAGGCUGAUACCGCCCAAGAGUUCAUAUCGACGGCGGUGUUUGGCACCUCGAUGUCGGCUCAUCACAUCCUGGGGCUGAAGUAGGUCCCAAGGGUAUGGCUGUUCGCCAUUUAAAGUGGUACGCGAGCUGGGUUUAGAACGUCGUGAGACAGUUCGGUCCCUAUCUGCCGUGGGCGCUGGAGAACUGAGGGGGGCUGCUCCUAGUACGAGAGGACCGGAGUGGACGCAUCACUGGUGUUCGGGUUGUCAUGCCAAUGGCACUGCCCGGUAGCUAAAUGCGGAAGAGAUAAGUGCUGAAAGCAUCUAAGCACGAAACUUGCCCCGAGAUGAGUUCUCCCUGACUCCUUGAGAGUCCUGAAGGAACGUUGAAGACGACGACGUUGAUAGGCCGGGUGUGUAAGCGCAGCGAUGCGUUGAGCUAACCGGUACUAAUGAACCGUGAGGCUUAACCUU